GACGAACGCUGGCGGCGUGCCUAAUACAUGCAAGUUGAGCGAUGAAGAUUGGUGCUUGCCCCAAUUUGAAGAGCAGCGAACGGGUGAGUAACGCGUGGGGAAUCUGCCUUUGAGCGGGGGACAACAUUUGGAAACGAAUGCUAAUACCGCAUAACAACUUUAAACAUAAGUUUUAAGUUUGAAAGAUGCAAUUGCAUCACUCAAAGAUGAUCCCGCGUUGUAUUAGCUAGUUGGUGAGGUAAAGGCUCACCAAGGCGAUGAUACAUAGCCGACCUGAGAGGGUGAUCGGCCACAUUGGGACUGAGACACGGCCCAAACUCCUACGGGAGGCAGCAGUAGGGAAUCUUCGGCAAUGGACGAAAGUCUGACCGAGCAACGCCGCGUGAGUGAAGAAGGUUUUCGGAUCGUAAAACUCUGUUGGUAGAGAAGAACGUUGGUGAGAGUGGAAAGCUCAUAAAGUGACGGUAACUACCCAGAAAGGGACGGCUAACUACGUG
rnacentral:rRNA from 1 species